rnacentral:rRNA from 1 species
UACGUAGGGGCAAGCGUUGUCCGGAUUAUUGGGCGUAAAGAGCGUGUAGGCGGCUAGAUAGGUCCGUUGUGAAAACUCGAGGCUCAACCUCGAGACGUCGAUGGAAACCAUCUGGCUAGAGUCCGGAAGAGGAGAGUGGAAUUCCUGGUGUAGCGGUGAAAUGCGCAGAUAUCAGGAAGAACACCCGUGGCGAAGGCGGCUCUCUGGGACGUACUGACGCUGAGACGCGAAAGCGUGGGGAGCGAACAGG